rnacentral:rRNA from 1 species
GAUGAACGCUGGCGGCGUGCCUAAUACAUGCAAGUCGAGCGAACGGACGAGAAGCUUGCUUUUCUGAUGUUAGCGGCGGACGGGUGAGUAACACGUGGAUAACCUACCUAUAAGACUGGGAUAACUUCGGGAAACCGGGGCUAAUACCGGAUAAUAUUUUGAACCGCAUGGUUCAAAAGUGAAAGACGGUCUUGCUGUCACUUAUAGAUGGAUCCGCGCUGCAUUAGCUAGUUGGUAAGGUAACGGCUUACCAAGGCAACGAUGCAUGGCCGACCUGAGAGGGUGAUCGGCCACACUAGAACUGAGACACGGUCCAGACUACUACGGGAGGCAGCAGUAGGGAAUCUUCCGCAAUGGGCGAAAGCCUGACGGAGCAACGCCGCGUGAGUGAUGAAGGUCUUCGGAUCGUAAAACUCUGUUAUUAGGGAAGAACAUAUGUGUAAGUAACUGUGCACAUCUUGACGGUACCUAAUCAGAAAGCCACGGCUAACUACGUG